CGGGAGAGUAACGCGUGGAAAACCUGCCGUAUACUGGGGGAUAACACUUAGAAAUAGGUGCUAAUACCGCAUAAGCGCACAGCUUCGCAUGAAGCAGUGUGAAAAACUCCGGUGGUAUACGAUGGUUCCGCGUCUGAUUAGCUAGUUGGUGAGGUAAAAGCCCACCAAGGCAGCGAUCAGUAGCCGGCCUGAGAGGGUGAACGGCCACAUUGGGACUGAGACACGGCCCAGACUCCUACGGGAGGCAGCAG
rnacentral:rRNA from 1 species